rnacentral:lncRNA from 1 species
UGUUUUGCAGAGGUGCAGCGACUGCAGGAGCAGGUGAGAAAGCUCCAGGUGGAUGCAGCAGAUGAGGGCUGGAGACAAGCACAAGUUGAUUCUCUGGAACAGAAGGUAGCUAGUCUGGAAGGAGAACUACUGGCAGCUCAAAGGCAGUGUGACCAGGCUAUCCAAAAGAGAGACGCCCUACUUAGACAAUCCGAGGCUGAUCUUCUGCAGGCGUGGGAGAAGAUCCGAAGCAAGGCGGCGGAGGCAGAGAGACAGGCCGUCUCUGCUCGAGGGCUAGAAGCUGAUCUGUAGAAACCCAAGAAAGAGAAAAGGCGAAGGGAGAAAGAGUGCGCCUCACUCAAAACACAGAUGCUUCAGCUCAGAGAACAACUGAAGGAGGCUUACACCACCCGUAGAGACAUGGGUAACACAGAGCAGAACACAUGUAGAACUUUUAUUGUGGAUUGCCAUGAUGUAAAUAAUUCUUAAAGCCGCAGAGUAUACUUUAAACUCUUACGAGAUUGGCUGAAACUGCAAAUACAGCAGCCCCAAGAAGUAUUUGGACACCUAAGCCAAAAUUGGUGCUGGGUAGAUUACUUAUACAUUGAAGUCAGUUAAUGAGAGCAAAUUGCAUGAAAAAAAAAAAAUGUUUUUAUUAACAUAAACAAUUUUUUAUUACUUUAAGAUUACUUUGGGCCAAACUUGUUUUAUCACAUUAAUUUGAAUAGGAUAAUCCAUAUUGUACCAUAUUGAUAUUAAAAUACAAAGAAAAUAAAUCCCAUUCUUUGUUAUCAACAACAUGAAGGGUUUUCCAAACAGUGGUUUUCUUGAAGAUACUGCAAGGGUUUAUGAAUUAAUUGAAAUUUAAUUAUUAAUUAAAUCACAAAAAAAACAAUUUAACAAUGUAAAUGUAAAAUUAAAAUAAAAUAAAUAAAUAAAAACAAAUCAAAAUAAAAUACACAUAAAAAGGAUUCAUUAUUUUAUUUGUUUAUUUGCAUGUUAUGUGACCAUUAAACAUCAGACAGAUCCAUUAACCCACAAAUCUAUUAUUACACACUAAACUACACCUGUGCUUACUCUGAUAGGACACAUUCUUUAAAAACAAUCUUGGGGCCAGGUGAUUAAAAUUAUUUUUUUAAAUGGCUCAGAAAAGUACAUUUUGUUCCAAGAAAGCUUGUUUCUUGCGUUUAACAUCAAAUAUGGUAGAUGGAAACUCAAAUGUGUUUGCUUGACCCACAAGAACAAACCAUGGGAAUUCAUGCUGGUAAUUUUAGCACGGCAAUGAUUUCCUCUUGAUUUUGCAAGAGAAAAGCCAUUGCUUUUAAAUCUGUGUGGUUUUGUCAGAAUAUGCAUGUG